AUAUAUAUAUGUACACACACACACAUUGUAUAUUAUAUAUAUAUGUGUGUGUGUGUAUAGUGUAUACAU